UACGAAGGGGGCUAGCGUUGCUCGGAUUGACUGGGCGUAAAGGGUGCGUAGGCGGGGCUUUAAGUCAGGGGUGAAAUCCUGGAGCUCAACUCCAGAACUGCCUUUGAUACUGAAGAUCUUGAGUUCGGGAGAGGUGAGUGGAACUGCGAGUGUAGAGGUGAAAUUCGUAGAUAUUCGCAAGAACACCAGUGGCGAAGGCGGCUCACUGGCCCGAUACUGACGCUGAGGCACGAAAGCGUGGGGAGCAAACAGG
rnacentral:rRNA from 1 species